rnacentral:rRNA from 1 species
AACGAACGCUGGCGGCAUGCCUAACACAUGCAAGUCGAACGAAGCCUUCGGGCUUAGUGGCGCACGGGUGCGUAACGCGUGGGAAUCUGCCCUUAGGUACGGAAUAACUCAGGGAAACUUGUGCUAAUACCGUAUGAUGUCGAGAGACCAAAGAUUUAUCGCCUAGGGAUGAGCCCGCGUAGGAUUAGCUAGUUGGUGGGGUAAAGGCCUACCAAGGCGACGAUCCUUAGCUGGUCUGAGAGGAUGAUCAGCCACACUGGGACUGAGACACGGCCCAGACUCCUACGGGAGGCAGCAGUGGGGAAUAUUGGACAAUGGGCGAAAGCCUGAUCCAGCAAUGCCGCGUGAGUGAAGAAGGCCUC